rnacentral:lncRNA from 1 species
GAUUAUAUUAAACUGCCUCCAGCUGUACUAUGUAAAACAGAUUUACUUUUAAAAAUUACAGUAUACCUGCUUUGUUCUAUAUGUAUGUGUUUAACUCAUGAAGUGGACUCUUAGAAGGAUUUGAAAUGGACUCUGGCCACAGAAUUUGUGAGCAGACAGUAGUGAUAAUAAUAAAAGAAGGCAAUCAAAAUUUCAUUUUAUCAUGCCCUCUCACAGGUUUUUGUUAUAAUUGUAAGCCCAUAUCACUUGUGUUAGUAGUUUUGUCUCUAUAGGUAACAUAAUGACAGUGGUGUAAAAUUUCUGUUCAAGAAACAUAUGUUGUAAAGUUAAUUUAUACAAGACACCUGCCAAAGGAAAUGGUCUUAAUUUCAAAUGAUUUUGAAAGCAUGUAUAAUUGCAAACAGAGCAGGAGAAAACUUUAAUCAGAAUUUCCUUGUGUCCUUUUCCUUUACUAAGUGUUUUGAAUAAAGAAAAAAAAAUGUAUGACCUCAGAGAAUGAAUUCCCUUCAGGAAGCCACUUCCUGAUUUUAGUGGAUAAUAUUGUUCUCUGUAGCACAAAGAUUUAAAGUCCUAGAAUUUCUAAUCCUAGUUCUCAGAAUUGUAGAAUAUGACAAAAAUAAUGGUUUCUCGAUUUGUCCACUGACUUCAGGGAUAUUUCACAAGUUAUUUAUUUAUAGAAAGAAAACUAUGUAGUUAAAUCUGUCAUUCAGUUAAACCUGUUGUCUUUCAGUUUGAAAUCUUUGUGUUAUGUAUGUUGCAAAAGAAAAUUUAGAACCAUUCCUUUGUUCACUCAGUCACAGCAUUCAGAGCUUUAUGUUUCCAGUGGAAAUGUACUGUUCAGUCUCAAUUUCUUUUAAUUCAACCAUUCUCAGUAUUAGUAACAUAUACCUAUAAAAUUUUUCUAAAGCAAAUUUUUAAUUGAAUUUCUCAUAAAAGCUCUUGGACCAUAAUUAAAGUCUCAGUUAAACUGGUAUUCCCGAAAAACAAUCUUCCAGUCUAUAAAUUGUUUGCUAGUACAGUUAAAAGGUCAUCUAUCGCAUAACUGAUGGCUCAGGUCUGUCCAGUUGCCAUAAUUGCACAACUGGAUUCCAGCUGCUGGUAAUAAGGAAUUGUGUAGAUAGAUAAAGGGCAAGAGUAUGUCUGCAAUCCAAAAUAAAUGAGAGUUAACACAUAAUUAGCCGUUUGAUUAUUUUGGCAGCUAUCCUCACCAUUUAGUAAAGGGUAUACUAACAAUACCCAACUUUACUUAACAAAGUUUUGUAAGCCUACCUAAGUAGUAACUUGAUAUGCUGAAAAAUCUGACCUGUCACUUUGCUUCACUCUGACCAGUAAAUGCAGAUUGUCUUCACCAUCCUAGCCCAUGACUACAUUAGGAUUUUAUGACUUAUUAACUUGAAAAUCUGUUCUGUAAGUGGCAUUGGUAGACUAUCCCACUUUGCUCCUCACUGUCCAAUUGUGUAAAGAUUAAGGUACAUACUAUUGUUGGUGAUGCUUUUACACCUCAACUUGCUAUUUUAAAAGGUUAUAUGAACUCCUCCCACUUUUAAGGAUAUUCCCUUUUACUGAUUUUCCUAGCUAAAAUUAUAUAGCCAUCUUUCUAAAUAUUGUAUUUAAAUCUGAUCUAGGACUUGCCUUAUUUUAUCAUUUUUCUUUAAUAAUCUCCAAUAAAAUUUCUUUAUUCAU